rnacentral:lncRNA from 1 species
CAGUGAGUAACGCUCAGCCCUGGAUUCUGCUGCAGGCUUAACGAGCUGCUCUUUUAUUUCCUUGUUCUGUUUCCUUUCCUAACUGUCUAGGGCGAAAGAUUUCCUCAAAAGCUUAAUGAAAGCCGAAUCACAGGACGGCUGUGUUUUAUCGAUACGCCACUGUUCUGGAAGCGCGGGCUGCUGGGAUGUCCGAGCUGUGGGCCUGACUCUUGCUGUGCAUAUGAAUGCCUUUCCUUCCUGAGACCUUCGGGAAGCUCCAGCCCCAGGCCUGUCACCCUGUCCUCUGUAUGCUGCACUGUGCUGGAGUCAGGCUGUGACCCAUCCAGAGUGGGACAGUCCUUCUCCCUGAGAUGCUCCAGUCUCCUAGGUACUCCCUAAGUCUUACACUAACAGCUUUCUACUAGAACCUUCGCUCUGCUCAGGGUCUGAGCUAAGUGCUAUCUUAGGCCCGUCCACUCUCCUCUUCUCAUCUGUGAGCCAUCCAUUCAUCCAAGUCUGACUUAGGUUCAUGGAGCACACACCACUUUGGGGCCCUCUCUUUGCAG